rnacentral:rRNA from 1 species
UGGGGAAUAUUGCACAAUGGGGGAAACCCUGAUGCAGCAACGCCGCGUGGAGGAUGACACUUUUCGGAGCGUAAACUCCUUUUCUGUUAGAAGAUAAUGACGGUAUAACAGGAAUAAGCACCGGCUAACUCCGUGCCAGCAGCCGCGGUAAUACGGAGGGUGCAAGCGUUACUCGGAAUCACUGGGCGUAAAGAGCGUGUAGGCUGUGCGAUAAGUCAGAUGUGAAAUCCUAUAGCUCAACUAUAGAACUGCAUUUGAAACUGUCACGCUAGAGUAUGGGAGAGGCAGAUGGAAUUUCUGGUGUAGGGGUAAAAUCCGUAGAUAUCAGAAGGAAUACCGAUUGCGAAGGCGAUCUGCUGGAACAUUACUGACGCUGAGACGCGAAAGCGUGGGGAGCAAA